AACGAACGCUGGCGGCAGGCUUAACACAUGCAAGUCGAACGCCCCCGCAAGGGGAGUGGCAGACGGGUGAGUAACGCGUGGGAAUCUACCUAGUUCUACGGAACAACAGUUGGAAACGACUGCUAAUACCGUAUACGCCCUACGGGGGAAAGAUUUAUCGGAAUUAGAUGAGCCCGCGUAAGAUUAGCUAGUUGGUGAGG
rnacentral:rRNA from 1 species